GAAAGACUCUCGGCAACGGAUAUCUCGGCUCUUGCAUCGAUGAAGAACGUAGCGAAAUGCGAUACUUGGUGUGAAUUGCAGAAUCCCGUGAACCAUCGAGUCUUUGAACGCAAGUUGCGCCCGAAGCCAUUAGGUUGAGGGCACGCCUGCCUGGGUGUUGCAC
rnacentral:rRNA from 1 species